GGGACAAGUUUGAAGGCCCAGCAUGGAAUUCAGAUUUCCACUGUGAUUGUCCUAUGAAAGCCUGUUCUCUGCUUGACUCUCCAUUAGCAGCAUCAGCCAAAGGCCUUUGAGCUUGAGGGAGCAAUACAUACCCAGGAGACCACGCUAGACUGUUAGCAGAAGGAUAAACAAAAGAUUUCUCAUAUACAGAUGCAGCAGCAGCAGCAGCUUGGAGCCUGGCCUGAUGCUCACCCAAAUUAUCAUCAGGCACACUGCCAACUGAGCCCUGUGGUCCUGAACUUGUGGUGCCUGUCCCCUGCCGACGAGUAUCAGAUUGUGAUCCAUGUUGCCCUCCAGCUGUACUUGCACCAUUGUCAGGUGGUUCAACUAGGGCUCUGCAUGUAGGACAAGUAUGUUGCCUCUCCAACCAUGAACGGAGACAAUGAACAUGAAAUAGAUGUCCACAGAUUAAUUUUUUGGCUGUGGUCAUCUCUUCACGACAAAUAAUACAGGUUGCAUCACUUGCAUUGAGCUCUUCAGGUGUUGCAUCUGGAAACUGAUCAUUCAUAUUUGAAGUUAUCUUCCGGUAACGAAUGAAAUCAGCAACACGAAUUUUGAAGUUCCUGAAUGUCUCAUAAAGCUCCCUUAUUAGGUGCAAAGGUACACCAUAGUUCAUGAAAAUCAC
rnacentral:misc_RNA from 1 species